GUGCUCGUAGCUCAGCUGGAUAGAGCAUCGGCCUUCUAAGCCGAGGGUCUGGGGUUCGAAUCCCCACGGGCACA
rnacentral:tRNA from 1 species